rnacentral:tRNA from 1 species
GGGGUUGUGGCUCAGUGGUAGAGCAUUUGCCUAGCAUGCAUGAGGCACUCAGUUCGAUUCUCUGUACCA